rnacentral:sRNA from 1 species
GCCGGGCGUGGUGGUGUGUGCCUGUAAUCCCAGCUACUCGGGAGGCUGAGGCAGGAGAAUUGCUUGAACUCAGGGGACAGAGAUUGCAGUGAGCCAAGAUCACGCCACUGCACUCCAGCCUGGGCGACAGAGCAAGACUCUGCCUCAA